rnacentral:rRNA from 1 species
CUGCCCUUCCUACGGGAGGCAGCAGUAGGGAAUUUUGGACAAUGGGCGCAAGCCUGAUCCAGCCAUGCCGCGUGUGUGAAGAAGGCCUUCGGGUUGUAAAGCACUUUCGGACGGAACGAAAUCGCGCGGGUGAACAAUCCGCGUGGAUGACGGUACCGUAAGAAGAAGCACCGGCUAACUACGUGCCAGCAGCCGCGGUAAUAAGG